UUGCUCUUCAACGAGGAAUGCCUAGUAAGCGCGUGUCAUCAGCAUGCGUUGAUUACGUCCCUGCCCUUUGUACACACCGCCCGUCGCUACUACCGAUUGAAUGGCUCAGUGAGGCCUUCGGACUGGCCCAGGGAGGUUGGCAACGACCGCCCCGGGCCGGAAAGUUGGUCAAACUCGGUCAUUUAGAGGAAGUAAAAGUCGUAACAAGGUUUCCGUAGGUGAACCUGCGGAAGGAUCAUUAUUGUAGGGACUCCGGUCCCCUCAAGAUGCAACCCGUGCCUUUUUUGUAGCCCGUAACGUUUCCUCGGCAGCCCCGCUGCCAGCGAGGACCCCCCCCAAACCAAACCCGAAUCUCAGUAAAAAAUUCAGAAACCCCCCAAAAUUUAAAACUUUCAACAAUGGAUCUCUUGGCUCUGGCAUCGAUGAAGAACGCAGCGAAAUGCGAUAAGUAGUGUGAAUUGCAGAAUUCAGUGAAUCAUCGAAUCUUUGAACGCACAUUGCGCCCUUUGKUWUUYYUUAGGGCAUGCCUGUUCGAGCGUCAUUUCAAAAUUCAAGCUCAGCUUGGUGAUGGGCGUCUGUCCCGCCUCCGCGCGCGGACUCGCCUCAAAAGUAGUUGGCAGCUCCCUUAUCGGCACUGAACGCAGCAAAUUUGCGGGACGCACCGAAGAAAGGGGCUUACCAGUAAGCAAACCACCCCAGAUUGACCUCGGAUCAGGUAGGGAUACCCGCUGAACUUAAGCAUAUCAAUAAGCGGAGG
rnacentral:rRNA from 1 species